UUCAAAAUUGCUGUUGUAACUCGUAUUGGUUUUGGAACUGUUGUGGCUGCUGCUGGUUUUGUUCGAGGCUACUGCUGUUGUGAGAAAGGAAAAAGGAAUUUGUCGCGGUUAAGGAAUUCUUCGAGUUCUGGUUAUUUGAGCUUGCUGCUUUGGACUUUAUUGCAUGUGCAACUACUGAUGUAUUUUUCAUGACAGAGUCUGGUACCAACUCUCAGCAAUGGUGUCUGGAUUCAGAAGCUACAAUGGUGGCGAUCAUGCUCCCACUUUGAGGCCUAAUUAACAAGAAGAGGCUGGCAUGUGUAGACAACCUUAACACCAUCAAUCAACACACUCACGCACGCAUUGUAUAAUAUUAGACUAAGACCAGCCCAAUGCACAUGGAGCUGAAUUACUUAUACUAUAUAGUAGUAUAGAUCUAAAAAUGUUAUUACUUAUAACUUAAUUUAUGUAUAAUUUUAUUGAUUUUAUUGA